rnacentral:rRNA from 1 species
UGAGGAAUAUUGGACAAUGGGCGCAAGCCUGAUCCAGCCAUGCCGCGUGCAGGAUGACGGUCCUAUGGAUUGUAAACUGCUUUUGCACAGGAAGAAACAACGCUACGUGUAGCGUCUUGACGGUACUGUGAGAAUAAGGAUCGGCUAACUCCGUGCCAGCAGCCGCGGUAAUACGGAGGAUCCAAGCGUUAUCCGGAAUCAUUGGGUUUAAAGGGUCCGUAGGCGGUUUAGUAAGUCAGUGGUGAAAGCCCAUCGCUCAACGGUGGAACGGCCAUUGAUACUGCUAGACUUGAAUUAUUAGGAAGUAACUAGAAUAUGUAGUGUAGCGGUGAAAUGCUUAGAGAUUACAUGGAAUACCAAUUGCGAAGGCAGGUUACUACUAAUAUAUUGACGCUGAUGGACGAAAGCGUGGGUAGCGAACAGGAUUAGAUACCCUGGUAGUCCCUGAGCGGGCUGGCAAGGCGCAU